UACCUACGGGGGGCAGCAGUGGGGAAUAUUGGACAAUGGGGGAAACCCUGAUCCAGCGACGCCGCGUGAGUGAAGAAGUAUUUCGGUAUGUAAAGCUCUAUCAGCAGGGAAGAAGAUGACGGUACCUGAUUAAGAAGCCCCGGCUAACUACGUGCCAGCAGCCGCGGUAAUACGUAGGGGGCAAGCGUUAUCCGGAUUUACUGGGUGUAAAGGGAGCGCAGACGGCAGUGCAAGUCUGGAGUGAAAGCCCGGGGCUCAACCCCGGAACUGCUCUGGAAACUGUGCGGCUAGAGUACUGGAGGGGG
rnacentral:rRNA from 1 species